rnacentral:rRNA from 1 species
AAACCUGCCUUAAGGAUGGGGAUAACAGACGGAAACGACUGCUAAUACCGAAUACGUUCUAAGCAUCGCAUGGUGCAUAGAAGAAAGGGUGGCCUCUACAAGAAAGCUAUCGCCUUAAGAGGGGUUUGCGACUGAUUAGGUAGUUGGUGAGGUAACGGCUCACCAAGCCGACGAUCAGUAGCCGGUCUGAGAGGAUGAACGGCCACACUGGAACUGAGACACGGUCCAG